ACUCGCUCUCCGUCCCGGCCGCCCAGCGGUUCCCCUUUCCGUGGCCUGGGCAGGCGCUGAGGCACAGGGAGCCGCACGUUCCCGAGGCACAGGGAGCCGCACGUUCCCGAGGCACAGGGAGCCGCACGUUCCCGGGGAAGGUGCCAGAGGCCAGCUGGACGGCCCCGGCGCACUCCCGCCCCGGCGCACUCCCGCCCCGGCGCACUCCGACCCCGGCGCACUCCCGCCCCGGCGCACCCUGCUCCCCGGCGCGUACCCAGGGGCCACGAUUUUGGCUGGGCGAAAGCGGCCCGCUCCCGCCUCUCCUUGAGUGCGCUGAUUACAUCUACCGGAGACACCUUCCCUUCCCUUGGGGAUCCCAACUCUCAGCUCUUCAGAAAGCAAUGACAAGGCAUCUGACUCAUCCUCCUGCACCUCUUUUCAAUUACUGACUUAAACCAGAUUACAGUUGCUGUCAGGCUUGAAGACUGAGACUUACUGAUACGUGUAUCCUAGAAGUACCUGACACAGUAACACACUGCCUUACCUUGGUCUUGCUCUGCUGCCCAGGCUGGAGUACAGUGGUGCAAUCUAGUUCACUGCAGCCUCAAACUCCCGGGAUUAAGCAAUCCUUCCACUUUAGCUUCCCAAGUAGCUAAAGUUCCAAGUAGGGACUACAGGCAUGCACCACCAGUUCAGGUAGAGAAGUAAAACGAACGGAAGAAACAAAGUGGAAGAAGUCCCAAGCAUAUUCUGAGUAUUUAAAAUCUCCAAAGGCAUUUCGCCCAUUCCCCUAACAAUUAAACUUGAGCUUAUUCUAUGUGUAUAAAUAUAUAUUUGUUAUUUAAGACUUUCCUUUAAAACUUUUUAUUGAUACAUAAUUGUAUAUGUUUAUGAAGUAUAUGUGAUAUUUUGAUACCUGCAUACAAGGUUUAAUGACCAAAUCAGAGUAUCCAUUACCUCAAACAUUUAUUAUUUCCUUGUGUUGAGAAUAUUCCAAAUAUUCUCUUUAACAACUUCCUUAUUUUCAUUAUCCAG
rnacentral:lncRNA from 1 species